rnacentral:rRNA from 1 species
ACCUGCGGAAGGAUCAUUAUUGAAUGAACUUGGUGUGGUUGUAGCUGGCCCUCUUGAAAAGGGCAUGUGCACACCCACCAUCCUCAUCUCUCCACCUGUGCACCUCUUGUAGACUUGGAUUGACUUUCCGAGGCAACUCGGUCGGGAGGACUGCUGGCACUAGCUGGCUUUCCUUGCAUUUCCAAAUCUACGUUUUUCAUAUACCCUAUCGUAUGUAAUAGAAUGUAUCAUUGGGCACUUGUGCCUAUAUAAACCUUAUACAACUUUCAGCAACGGAUCUCUUGGCUCUCGCAUCGAUGAAGAACGCAGCGAAAUGCGAUAAGUAAUGUGAAUUGCAGAAUUCAGUGAAUCAUCGAAUCUUUGAACGCACCUUGCGCUCCUUGGUAUUCCGAGGAGCAUGCCUGUUUGAGUGUCAUUAAAUUCUCAACCUUUAUCAGCUUUUGUUGAUAAUGGCUUGGAUAUGGGGGUUUAUUUUUGCUGGCUUCUUCACGGAUGGUCAGCUCCCCUUAAAUGCAUUAGCCGGUGCCCCGCGUGGACUGUCUAUUGGUGUGAUAAUUAUCUACGCCGUGGACAUCUGCAGUCAUAUGGGUUUGCACUGCUUCUAACCGUCUGUUCAUUCAGACAAUAUAUGACAAUUUGACC